GCGAUAGGAAAUAGGCGCUUCCGCAUAAUCGGUAUGUGUCGCGCACUAAACUGUUUACGUAUGCACCGGUUAACAAAAUCGAUGUGUUCCGGCACUCGCAGUCAGAAAGGUAAGUUUUAUUUCUCAAAAUAUUCUGUUAAGUACUAUUUGUCAACGUAUAAACACAUGUUCAGUCCAAACUUACGAUAUCAAAGAUUGAAUUUAACCCGGAUUUUUUAGCGAAACCAUUUGAAAUCAUUGAUUUUAAAGGUGGGUAGUUCUGUUCUGUCAUUCUCUAUUCAUAACUUGUGUUUACACGAAUCUUCAAACUGUGCAUAUUUAUGUGGGUUUCAUUGGUGAACCAGUGGCGCAUGGAAGCUAAAUAUACUAUUAAUGGCAGUUGGUAAGUGGGAAUGGUCAAUUAUUUAUGGUUUGUUUUUGGUUUGCAAAAUAAUCAAAAUGUUAGUUUGACAGACGACAACAACAACAACUCGUUAUAGUUUGUUUCAAGACAUCUAGAAAAUAGAAUAAUAGAAUACUUUUGAUUUUGUUCGAUGAUACAAACUGGAGCAUAUUAUGAUCUGUUUGUUGGAUGAUUUUAACAUAAUGUUUUAACUGAAAAUUGUUUUAUGGUACUAGAAAAGGGUAUUGCAGUUUUUCCUUGAGUACCUAUACUUUCGGAUAAAAUUUAUUUCGGAUGUAAUAUUUGGCUACUGUAGUAUUAUGUUUUUUCUUAUGUUUAAAAAAAUGAGACAUGCUGGGCAGUUUUCCUGAUUUUAUUUUGUUAUAAGUUAUACAUUAAAAUAAUGUAUGUGUCAUUAGGAUAAAAAUAGAGCUGCAUUUGGCAACAUAGUAAAGAUUGAACGAUUUUUUUUUUUGAGAUACCAAGAAGACGCCCCGGUACAUCCCGGAACUAAGGGCUGGAUACACAACCGGUAGGGGGGCACAUGAGUCUAACGACUAGAGUCUCCGAAAGGAGGUACAUCAGAUAGAUACACAAUGGAGUGUUUCAUAUGAUAAAUUACGUUUUAAUUUUAUUAAUUACUUUGUAUAUUUCAGAAGCUGUGUGUUCACUGUUGGCACAUUGAAUGAUUGGAUAAAUAAUGCUCUAUUGGAUAAAUACAUAAGAAAAUAACAUUUCAAUAUUUAAGGCAAAUGAUUUAUACAUUUGAAAGGAUAUGUAAAUUCAAACUAUUUUAGAGAAUUUAUAAAUGACUGCCUCCUUUGUAAAACAAGAUUUUAUUUUUAUUUUUAAACUGAUUGUUACUGUUAUACUCAAAGGUUAACAUAAGAGAAUAAAAAAAUACAUGUGAUAUCAAUGUCUAUUUGCGUUUGACCUCCUUUUAAACUGACAUUUUACUAACUUAAAUAUGGACGUUAAAAAAAUUAAAACGGUGGAUAGGUAGUUUUAGGUAAUAAGGGUCUUAAGUUUUAGAUAUGAAGAUAAAACUAUAUUUCAGGUAAAGUACAUUGGACAGCUGUGAUUGUGGUGUGGACAGCUGAGAUUGUGUUUUGGACAGCUGAGAUUGUGACUUGGACAGCUGAGAUUGUGGUGUGGACAGCUGAGAUUGGUGUGGACAGCUGAGAUUGUGGUGUUGACAUCUGAAAUUGUGAUUUGGACAGCUGAGAUUGUGACUUGGACAGCUGAGAUUGUGCUGUGGACAGCUAAAAUUGUGGUGUGGAAUAAUGAUAUUGUGGUGUUGACAACAUAUUGUGGUGUGCACAUGUGAUAUUGUGGUGUGAUGGUUUAAAGUAGCAAAGGUAAAGAACGUUUGACAGCUUAGAUUGUGGUGUGGACAGCUGAUAUUGUGGUGUGGACAGCUGAGAUUGUCAUGUGGACUACUUAUAUUGUGGCUUGCAGAGCUGAUAUUGUGGUGUGAUGGUUUAAAGUACUAAAGGUAUGAAGCAUGUAUUAUAUUAUUACAUUUCAUUAUAGUUUGACUAUACAAAGAAAAGC